GGGGAUUUAGCUCAGUGGCAUAAGUACCUGCCUUGUAAGCAGGAGGUCAUGAGUUCGAUCCCCG
rnacentral:tRNA from 1 species